rnacentral:rRNA from 1 species
CCUUCCUUAGGGUUUGAUCAUGGCUCAGAAUGAACGCUAUCUAUUUGCUUAACACAUGCUAGUCGAACGCGUCUAUGACGAGUGGCGAACGGGUGAGUAAUACAUAGGAAUCUACCUUAUAGUUUGGUUAAAUACCUUAUAUUUCAAAGACUGUGUCGCUAUAAGAUGAGCCUUUGUAGGAUUAGGUAGUUGGUAAGGUAAUAGCUUACCAAGCCGAUGAUCCUUAAUUGGUCUGAGAGGAUGUACAGUCACACUAGAACUGAGACAAGGUCUAGACAUCUACGGAUGGCAGCAGUGAGGAAUCUUGAACAAUGGGCGCAAGCUUGAUUCAGCGAUAUAGAGUGAAUGAUGACAGUCAUUUGAUUGUAAAGUUCUUUUACCAAGGAAGAUUUUGGCUUUACUUGGAGAAAAAGCCCCGGCUAAUCUCGUGCCAGCAGCCGCGGUGAUACGAGAGGGGCUAGUGUUAUUCGGAAUUAUUGGGUGUAAAGGGUGAGUAGGCUGUAAUCAUAGUUAAAAGUUAAAUCUUAGUAGUAAUUACUAAACCAAUUUUUAAUAACAAAUUACUAGAGUAAAAGAGAGGAUUGUAGAAUUUCAAGUGGAGAAAUAAAAUUCGUAGAUUUUUGAAGGAAUAUCGAAAGCGAAGGCAACAAUCUGGCUUUAUACUGACGCUGAUUCACGAAAGCCUAGGUAGCAACCAGGAUUAGAGACCCUGUUAGUCUAGGCCGUAAACUAUGAAUACUCAUUUUUGGAUAGUAUAUAUUCAGAAAUUUAGCUAACGCGUUAAGUAUUCCACCUGAGGAGUACAGU